UACGUAGGGGGCAAGCGUUGUCCGGAUUCAUUGGGCGUAAAGAGCGCGCAGGCGGUCGUUCAAGUCGCGUGUGAAAGCCCCCGGCUCAACUGGGGAGGGUCACGCGAUACUGAUCGACUCGAAGGCAGGAGAGGGUAGUGGAAUUCCCGGUGUAGUGGUGAAAUGCGUAGAUAUCGGGAGGAACACCAGUGGCGAAGGCAGCUCGCUGGGACGGUACUGACGCUGAGGCGCGAAAGCGUGGGGAGCAAACAGG
rnacentral:rRNA from 1 species